AUUGAACGCUGGCGGCAUGCUUUACACAUGCAAGUCGAACGGCAGCACGGGGGCAACCCUGGUGGCGAGUGGCGAACGGGUGAGUAAUGCAUCGGAACGUGCCCUGUCGUGGGGGUUAACACAUCGAAAGAUGUGCUAAUACCGCAUACGACCUGAGGGUGAAAGCGGGGGACCGUAAGGCCUCGCGCGAUAGGAACGGCCGAUGUCUGAUUAGCUAGUUGGUGGGGUAAAGGCCUACCAAGGCGACGAUCAGUAGCAGGUCUGAGAGGGCGACCAGCCACACUGGGACGGAGACACGGCCCAGACUCCUACGGGAGGCAGCAGUGGGGAAUUUUGGACAAUGGGGGCAACCCUGAUCCAGCCAUGCCGCGUGCGGGAAGAAGGCCUUCGGGUUGUAAACCGCUUUUGGCAGGAACGAAACGGUGCGGGCGAAUACCCUGUGCUAAUGACGGUACCUGCAGAAUAAGCACCGGCUAACUACGUGCCAGCCGCCGCGGUAAAAC
rnacentral:rRNA from 1 species